rnacentral:rRNA from 1 species
UACGUAGGGGGCAAGCGUUGUCCGGGUUUAUUGGGCGUAAAGAGCGUGUAGGCGGCCAGGUAGGUGGGUUGUGAAAACUGGAGGCUCAACCUUCAGACGUCGACCCAAACCCCCUGGCUAGAGUCCGGAAGAGGAGAGUGGAAUUCCUGGUGUAGCGGUGAAAUGCGUAGAUAUUGGGAGGAACACCAGUGGCGAAGGCGGCUCGCUGGACCGGUUCUGACGCUGAUGCGCGAAAGCGUGGGGAGCAAACGGG